rnacentral:piRNA from 1 species
UAGAAGCAGAGUUUGUUAUUCCUGA